GUUCCCUUCGGGGGGCGAGUAAAGUGGCGCACGGGUGAGUAACACGUAGGUAAUCUACCUUCGGGUGGGGAAUAACGCAGGGAAACUUGCGCUAACACCGCAUAAUGCAGCGGCACCACAUGGUGACAGUUGUUAAAGCGGGGGAUUUUCGAACCUCGCGCCUGAAGAGGAGCCUGCGGCAGAUUAGCUAGUUGGUAAGGUAACGGCUUACCAAGGCGACGAUCUGUAACCGGCCUGAGAGGGCGGUCGGUCACACUGACACUGACAUACGGGUCAGACUCCUACGGGAGGCAGCAGUCGGGAAUUUUGGGCAAUGGGCGAAAGCCUGACCCAGCAACGCCGCGUGAAGGAUGAAAUCCCUCGGGAUGUAAACUUCGCAAGAAUGGGAAGAAUGAGUAGGGGCUAAUACUCCCUAUGAUGACGGUACCAUUUGUAAGCUCCGGCUAACUCCGUGCCAGCAGCCGCGGUAAUACGGGGGGAGCAAGCGUUGUUCGGAUUUACUGGGCGUAAAGGGCGCGUA
rnacentral:rRNA from 1 species